rnacentral:rRNA from 1 species
UACCUACGGGAGGCAGCAGUCGGGAAUAUUGCGCAAUGGAGGAAACUCUGACGCAGUGACGCCGCGUGCAGGAAGAAGGUUUUCGGAUUGUAAACUGCUUUAGACAGGGAAGAUAAUGACAGUACCUGUAGAAUAAGCUCCGGCUAACUACGUGCCAGCAGCCGCGGUAAUACGUAGGGAGCAAGCGUUAUCCGGAUUUAUUGGGUUUAAAGGGUGCGCAGGCGGAAGAUCAAGUCAGCGGUAAAAUUGAGAGGCUCAACCUCUUCGAGCCGUUGAAACUGGUUUUCUUGAGUGAGCGAGAAGUA